rnacentral:rRNA from 1 species
ACGAACGCUGGCGGCGUGCCUAAUACAUGCAAGUAGAACGCUGAAGAGAGGAGCUUGCUCUUCUUGGAUGAGUUGCGAACGGGUGAGUAACGCGUAGGUAACCUGCCUUGUAGCGGGGGAUAACUAUUGGAAACGAUAGCUAAUACCGCAUAACAAUGGAUGACACAUGUCAUUUAUUUGAAAGGGGCAAUUGCUCCACUACAAGAUGGACCUGCGUUGUAUUAGCUAGUAGGUGAGGUAACGGCUCACCUAGGCGACGAUACAUAGCCGACCUGAGAGGGUGAUCGGCCACACUGGGACUGAGACACGGCCCAGACUCCUACGGGAGGCAGCAGUAGGGAAUCUUCGGCAAUGGGGGCAACCCUGACCGAGCAACGCCGCGUGAGUGAAGAAGGUUUUCGGAUCGUAAAGCUCUGUUGUAAGUCAAGAACGAGUGUGAGAGUGGAAAAUUCACACUGUGACGGUAGCUUACCAGAAAGGGACGGCUAACUACGUGCCAGCAGCCGCGGUAAUACGUAGGUCCCGAGCGUUGUCCGGAUUUAUUGGGCGUAAAGCGAGCGCAGGCGGUUUGAUAAGUCUGAAGUUAAAGGCUGUGGCUCAACCAUAGUUCGCUUUGGAAACUGUCAAACUUGAGUGCAGAAGGGGAGAGUGGAAUUCCAUGUGUAGCGGUGAAAUGCGUAGAUAUAUGGAGGAACACCGGUGGCGAAAGCGGCUCUCUGGUCUGUAACUGACGCUGAGGCUCGAAAGCGUGGGGAGCGAACAGGAUUAGAUACCCUGGUAGUCCACGCCGUAAACGAUGAGUGCUAGGUGUUGGAUCCUUUCCGGGAUUCAGUGCCGCAGCUAACGCAUUAAGCACUCCGCCUGGGGAGUACGACCGCAAGGUUGAAACUCAAAGGAAUUGACGGGGGCCCGCACAAGCGGUGGAGCAUGUGGUUUAAUUCGAAGCAACGCGAAGAACCUUACCAGGUCUUGACAUCCCGAUGCUAUUUCUAGAGAUAGAAAGUUACUUCGGUACAUCGGUGACAGGUGGUGCAUGGUUGUCGUCAGCUCGUGUCGUGGGAUGUUGGGUUAAGUCCCGCAACGAGCGCAACCCCUAUUGUUAGUUGCCAUCAUUCAGUUGGGCACUCUAGCGAGACUGCCGGUAAUAAACCGGAGGAAGGUGGGGAUGACGUCAAAUCAUCAUGCCCCUUAUGACCUGGGCUACACACGUGCUACAAUGGUUGGUACAACGAGUUGCGAGUCGGUGACGGCAAGCUAAUCUCUUAAAGCCAAUCUCAGUUCGGAUUGUAGGCUGCAACUCGCCUACAUGAAGUCGGAAUCGCUAGUAAUCGCGGAUCAGCACGCCGCGGUGAAUACGUUCCCGGGCCUUGUACACACCGCCCGUCACACCACGAGAGUUUGUAACACCCGAAGUCGGUGAGGUAACCUUUUGGAGCCAGCCGCCUAAGGUGGGAUAGAUGAUUGGGGUG